UACGUAGGGACCAAGCGUUGUUCGGAUUUACUGGGCGUAAAGGGCGCGUAGGCGGCUUAUUAAGUCAGCUGUGAAAUCUCCGAGCUUAACUCGGAACUGUCAGCUGAUACUGAUCUGCUAGAGUGCGGAAGGGGCAAUCGGAAUUCUUGGUGUAGCGGUGAAAUGCGUAGAUAUCAAGAGGAACACCUGAGGUGAAGACGGGUUGCUGGGCCGACACUGACGCUGAGUGCGCGAAAGCCAGGGGAGCAAACGGG
rnacentral:rRNA from 1 species